rnacentral:rRNA from 1 species
AUUGAACGCUGGCGGCAUGCUUUACACAUGCAAGUCGAACGGUAACAGGCCGCAAGGUGCUGACGAGUGGCGAACGGGUGAGUAAUGCAUCGGAACGUGCCCAGUCGUGGGGGAUAACGCAGCGAAAGCUGCGCUAAUACCGCAUACGAUCUAUGGAUGAAAGCGGGGACCGUAAGGCCUCGCGCGAUUGGAGCGGCCGAUGUCAGAUUAGGUAGUUGGUGGGGUAAAGGCCUACCAAGCCAACGAUCUGUAGCUGGUCUGAGAGGACGACCAGCCACACUGGGACUGAGACACGGCCCAGACUCCUACGGGAGGCAGCAGUGGGGAAUUUUGGACAAUGGGCGCAAGCCUGAUCCAGCAAUGCCGCGUGCAGGAAGAAGGCCUUCGGGUUGUAAACUGCUUUUGUACGGAACGAAACGGUCCGGGUUAAUACCCUGGGCUAAUGACGGUACCGUAAGAAUAAGCACCGGCUAACUACGUGCCAGCCGCCGCCGUAACAC